UGAUGGUGCUCCUCGGCCGUGUCCAAUCCGCGCUUCCCAGACAAAGAAAAUGAAAACAAAUUUCUUCUUGCUGAGUAAAAUCAGGUAAUGAUAAUACCUACAAGCAGGUUGAAGGAUCUAUAUUAGGUUUAUCUUUGGGAAAUUCAGGAGUUCUCUUCUCAUCUCCAAAGCUCGAUUACAGUCAGUCUAUUAUGAAGCAAUUGAGAAAGUGAUGGGUAAUUCAAAUUACUGGGAUGGUCAUCCAAAGCAACUUCUUCAACCACAAAUGUUGAUGGAAGAAAUUCACGAACAACACUAGUCAACAUCUUCAACCACAAAGUUUUUAAUUUCAUUAAAAGCGCAGACUAAGGGCCGACCACCAUCGAAGAGGAAGAAAUCAAAAGU